AUUGAACGCUGGCGGCAUGCCUUACACAUGCAAGUCGAACGGCAGCACGGGAGCAAUCCUGGUGGCGAGUGGCGAACGGGUGAGUAAUAUAUCGGAACGUGCCCAGUCGUGGGGAUAACGUAGCGAAAGCUACGCUAAUACCGCAUACGAUCUAUGGAUGAAAGCGGGGGAUCGCAAGACCUCGCGCGAUUGGAGCGGCCGAUAUCAGAUUAGGUAGUUGGUGAGGUAAAGGCUCACCAAGCCGACGAUCUGUAGCUGGUCUGAGAGGACGACCAGCCACACUGGGACUGAGACACGGCCCAGACUCCUACGGGAGGCAGCAGUGGGGAAUAUUGGACAAUGGGCGAAAGCCUGAUCCAGCAAUGCCGCGUGUGUGAAGAAGGGUCUUCGGAUUGUAAAGCACUUUAAGUUGGAGGAAGGGUAGUAACCUAAUAACGUUGCUACUUUGACGUUACCGACNGAAUAAGCACCGGCU
rnacentral:rRNA from 1 species